AUCUCACAAGUCAGAUGCAGGCAUGAGGACAGAUGGAGAAACAUCACAGAGCCGUCAUUUCUGGAAAUUGACUCAACACAGGGGAUCUAAGCUGACAGAGCUGGGAUUCAGAGCUAUGCCUUCCAGCUCCCUAACACAGGCUUGAGCAGGUAGACACUUGUGUCAUUCAAAAAGAACUGUGAAGAGGAAGAACAACUGACUCAUAAGUAGCUCACGGGAAACCAGCAACAGCAAAUACACAGAACGGGCUCACUGUUUACUUGGCACUCCAAGUAGUUCCUCAUAUCCAUAACCAUCAUUUCAUUAUUCAUCAUAUUAUAAAUGUUACAAAACC
rnacentral:lncRNA from 1 species